rnacentral:misc_RNA from 1 species
CGGGCAUUGAUGCACUAAUUUCAGAAGACGAAGUCCCAGAGAACUUGGUGCUUUCUUUAAGUUCUGCAAAAGGAGGGGAGAAUCGACCUUGAUUCCCUAGUGACUUUGUAGGAGCAAAGGGGCUAUCAGGAAUACCAUGCUCUAUAACAGUCCCACAGCAUUCAUUCGCAUCACAUCCUUCAGGAUAGAUUUUCUCUUCCUCACCAUUGACGGUGUCUUUGCUCUGAAUGCAAGUUGUAUUUACUUGUUGCUGAAGGUUCUGUUCAGCAACAGCAAAAGUAGAGGCAAUGGUGGCAGCUGAGCUAUCACAUUUGCCAUUGAUUAGCCGAUCUUCUAAGAUAUCUUGAUUCUCGACUUCAGAAGUAAGAUUUUGAUUGAUAUCAACAGAAGUAUGAGGGGGCACGGAAAUUGGUGUCCCAGCAGACAGACUUCGCCGGUGAUGAUGAACAUAAUCUCCCCUCAAGUCUGGGAGUUGCAGAUUAAUCAACCUUCUCCCCUGGAGUUCAAUUGUUUGUUGAAGCUCAGCCUGCUGCUCCAGCUUUCUUCUCACCAUCAUCCCCUGUGAAUUGUAGAGCAUUC